UAUGACAACCUUGUGUGGAAAGAGCUGGGAUAUGACAAAGUUAAGCAUCUGUUCAGAGCAAACCAGAUAUGAAUCAGAAUGAAUGUACUCCGUCUGUCCUGAUUCAGUUUUUUACUUUUGUCCAAUUAUUUCGGCAAAAGACCCACGGCUUAAACAAAACUUCAUCACUUCUUAUUUGAACGAUUUGACGGAAAGAGAUGAUGGGAUUUCUUCUGUCUCAUCCAAUGAGAAUAGGCGUCUUGAUAUCAUCAAACUGGAGGUUUUGGAUUGUGCAGUCGAUGUCAGCACAGUUUACGGAAAUUGGUAUUACCUUGACGUUCCUCGGCAGGCUGAAAUCCUGGAGUUCACUUCCCAGUCCCAGUCCCAGUCCCAGUUACUCCCUACCAAAGGUCCCGGUGGAGCCGCACAGACCCUCGGACCACCAAGAGAGGCAGAGGACAGAAGAAGUGUGAUUUCUGGGAGAUCAUCAAACUCACUCAGAAGGACAGUGGCUUCUACAAUGUCAGGGGAAAAGAUGGGUCUUUGCUGUCCAGGACUUUGCUCAAAGUAGAAGCGGACUCUAUAAGCUAUAAAAGAAGUGAAGGCGAGGACCUCAUCAUCAGAUAUCCUUCAACCAAAUCCUCUUGGACUGUAACUGUGACUAAACCCGGGGAAGACACCGAAUACUUAAUUUUGAUCAAAGCAGGCAAUCUGCUCACUGACAAUAGUAAUUCUGGAAUACCAGGAAUAUGACGGGAGGGUUCAGAUUUUGCAUGACGGCAUAGAAAUCAGGUCUUUGCGAAUCAUGGACUCUGGCGUUCUUGGGUUUAGAGACGAGGAAAGCUACUUGGCCCUGACCGUUCAUCUGAAUGUGCAGGCUGCAUCUAUUCCUACAUUUGUUAUUGUUUCCGUUAUUGCGGAAUCGUCUUUGUGGGGAUUCUCUGCUUCUGCUGCAUGAGAAAACGAGGUUGUAAAAAGAGCGCUCCUAAAAGGGACGAGGCUGCAGCGGCACCUCCAGUGUAUUACCAUGAUAAGACUCAUCUUUCAAGCUCGAGUUACCGUGCUGCACCUGCGCCAAAACCCUCUUAUGAGCCAAUGAACCCCAGUGAGCCAGCAGCUUCAUCAUCUGGGACACCGGCUGCGCCUCUGCGAGAUCAAGGGGACACUCCAGCUCCUACUUUCGGCUCUGAUUGUCUCUCCUCUGACCGUGAGCUGAGGUAUGAGCAGAAAGGACUGACCAUUCUCUCUGCUCCGACCCUCAGUUCAGACUCAACUUUCGCUGCUGUUUAUACCUCAGACAAACUCAACUUUUAGUAAGAAACGUCAUUCACAUUGGACAGAUGAGGUGUUGUUUAUUGUGACCAGCUGGAACACAGCCUUAGCUGCCUUUGAUUGGACAGUGACAUAUACACACGUUAGAAAAUAAGUCGCAUUCGGAGGGCUGGUGGCGCAGCGGUUUGUGCACACCUCCCAUGUAUGGAAGCUGUAAUCUUCCAAGCAAGGCGGCCCAGGUUCAAAUCCGACCUGUGGCUCCUCUCCUGCAUGUUGUUCCACACUCUCU